GCUUGUGCCUGUUUGCAUUUAUGGCUGUCUUAUUUGAAGAGCUUCUGUUUCUGCAUGCAACUGUUUGACUUUUCAUCCUAGCUUCUAUUGUCAUCAUGCCAAAUCUUUGCAUCUGCAAACAUAUGUGAUGUCAUGAUAAGAUAAUAAGGAAUGGGAGGAAAGAGACUGCGUCUUUUGUUGCCUGUCUCCACAUGUGAUACAAGGCCUGAGGACAUGCUGCCUGCCCUGAGACCAUCAGUCCCGCCUUAUUCAUGGAAGUCGCUACACAAUUAGGUGAAGAGGAGGAACUGCGCUUCUCCAAGUCCUGGUGAACUCUGCAGUAGUGGGUGGAAGGAGGAAUUUAAUGAGCUUUAAAAGAAGACAAUAAGGAAGAUACAAAGACAUGGCCAUCUGGACUUAAGCUGUUUGUGAGAAUGUAAGCCUGGUCCCAGAAAACCCUUGGUUAAACUCAGAAAGGAAGCCAAGUAGGCUGAAUUUGCAACAAAAACUGUUUGGCAGAAUCCUUGGGCAAGGCUGUGAGAAUCAGUGCUGUCCACAAUACUGCUGUGGAUUCCUUCAGGUCACAGCAGGAGCACUCGGUGGCUGAGCAAGGUGGCAAGCCAUUGCAGAUGGAGGAGAUCCUAGAAGUCGAGUCCCUGGGAGUAAAGAAGGGGCCAAAGCUCCUAUGAUUGGAGAACUAUGGUGCCUUGGAAGCAAGGUUAUAGAGAUGGAGGAGUUCACCUUGUUCAAACUUUCUGUUUAGAUGGGAAAA